rnacentral:rRNA from 1 species
GGUGUACUUUCCCGUAACGUAGGUCAACAUCGGUUACGAGGGUCACAAAAUGAUCGGAGGAAUGUGGCUUUGACCUCGGUUGAAGUGUUAUAGACUCCGUUAGACGUGACCGUCGUGACCGAGGAUUGCAACGGAUGCUCGUCAGGGCCAUCCGCCUGGUCUCUGAUUCGUCACCCUGGCGUCGAAAGCGUGCUUACGACGUUAGGGCGCGCGGUCAAAAGGUUAGAACGGAUUAAAUUCGUUAAGGAUGUUGACGUAAUGGCUUUAAACGA